rnacentral:rRNA from 1 species
CUGGAGGUAUCAGAAGUGCGAAUGCUGACAUAAGUAACGAUAAAGCGGGUGAAAAGCCCGCUCGCCGGAAGACCAAGGGUUCCUGUCCAACGUUAAUCGGGGCAGGGUGAGUCGACCCCUAAGGCGAGGCCGAAAGGCGUAGUCGAUGGGAAACAGGUUAAUAUUCCUGUACUUGGUGUUACUGCGAAGGGGGGACGGAGAAGGCUAUGUUGGCCGGGCGACGGUUGUCCCGGUUUAAGCGUGUAGGCUGGUUUUCCAGGCAAAUCCGGAAAAUCAAGGCUGAGGCGUGAUGACGAGGCACUACGGUGCUGAAGCAACAAAUGCCCUGCUUCCAGGAAAAGCCUCUAAGCAUCAGGUAACAUCAAAUCGUACCCCAAACCGACACAGGUGGUCAGGUAGAGAAUACCAAGGCGCUUGAGAGAACUCGGGUGAAGGAACUAGGCAAAAUGGUGCCGUAACUUCGGGAGAAGGCACGCUGAUAUGUAGGUGAGGUCCCUCGCGGAUGGAGCUGAAAUCAGUCGAAGAUACCAGCUGGCUGCAACUGUUUAUUAAAAACACAGCACUGUGCAAACACGAAAGUGGACGUAUACGGUGUGACGCCUGCCCGGUGCCGGAAGGUUAAUUGAUGGGGUUAGCGCA